UGGGCCACACCACAAGCCCAUCCACAGGUUAUUAGCGGUUGCACAUUUUGAAAAACGCAAGUAAGAGGUGCCGGAACUGUAGUUUGGUAUGUCCAGAAAAACAGAAAACGGAGCUGUCAAAUUCAGUCAAACCAUGUCCGGGAACCUAGACUGCGUCGUGGUGGCCGUCGAUGGUAGCGAAGAGAGCAUGAACGCUUUAAAAUGGGCCCUCGAAAACCUAAAGCUCCGGUCACCUGCGUCCGAUUGCGAUCCCGGCGGUUCCUUCGUCGUCCUCCACGUUCAGUCUCCUCCCAAUAUCGCCGCUGGUCUCAAUCCCGGUGCAAUCCCUUUCGGGGGACCCAGCGAGUUGGAAGUGCCAGCUUUCACUGCCGCGAUUGAGGCUCACCAGAGGCGUAUCACCCAGGCCGUUCUGGAACAUGCUCUUAGUAUUUGCUCCCAAAAAAAUGUGAAUGUGAAAACCGAAGUGGUUAUUGGGGAUCCAAAAGAGAAGAUUUGUGAAGCUGUUGAGAAUUUGAAGGCUGAUCUGCUUGUGAUGGGAUCCCGUGCUUUUGGCCCUAUUAAAAGGAUGUUUUUGGGGAGUGUAAGCAACUUCUGCGCCAAUCAUGCACAAUGCCCAGUCAUCAUAAUCAAGGCCAAGGGCACUGCUUAAUGUCAAAGUAUGCAUCUAUGAACUUCCAGAAACUUCUUGAAGAAUAUUGCACUUCAGUGUAUCUUUCCUUGGAGGAGUGUAGUGCGUGACCAUUAUAUAGUGCUGUUGUGUUGGUAUGGAGUUGUUGCAGUGGAAGGAUGCUACUGGACUAGCUUUCACGGGUCAUGACAUUCCUAAUAUCCUUCCAAGCCGAAAUUUCUGAUGGAAAUUUGGGUAUAGACAUUAAAUUCUUCUAGUGGUGUUGCCAUGCGCUUUUGUACAUGGAUGUUGUAAAUUUUUAAUAACUUUUGACUGGUGGGUUAUACUGUUGUGAUAAUGUUUGGAAAGUAAUUGCCGUUUUUGCCAGUUGCUGGAUGAUAUUAAAUUCUUCUAGUGGUGUUGCCAUGCGCUUUUGUACAUGGAUGUUGUAAAUUUUUAAUAACUUUUGACUGGUGGGUUACACCUUUGUGAUAAUGUUUGGAAAGUAAUUGCCGUUUUUGCCGGUUGCUGGA